rnacentral:misc_RNA from 1 species
UUAAGAUUUAAGUUGUUGAGAAGCACAUUAGAAUUAUUUAUAUUGAAUAUAUGAGGCCGAUAUAGGAAGUGUACCCCUAAAACACCCAAAGAUGAGACUUAGCCUUGUUGGCAAGGAUGGAUCCCUUCUUUAUAAAGAUUCAGCUCCACUAGAGAUCACUCUAGUCUCCAAGAUUAUUUAUUAUGAAUGCAUUAGGCCAGGAUUACCACCUUAAAGAUCAUUCGGAGAUGAGAUUUAGUUUUAG